CGCUUUAACAAACCUAACUGGGACUGGAAAGGGGCCGAGACUGCCCACCCUCGGCGCGCGCCCAUAGGCCAGCUGUGAGACCUGCUCCUUGCCAAUUGGUUGUAAAUGGCCACUGAAUCAUUUCAUUGGCGCCCCCACGCAAAGGCUAGCUCAUGUAGGCAGUGCGUGAUCAGGCAGUGUUGGCCAAUCGACAGACGCAAGAGUGCACGUGCACAGGGCGUUUAUUGGCUGGGGCAAAGCACAGUCCCGGCACAGGAACCAAUCAUAAGGUGGAGCGCCCAUGUGGACAGAUAGUGGGAAACAAUAUCUGUCAGGGAGGGGGCAGAACAGGGUAUCUCCCGCUUUCGGCGUGUCAGCUGUUCCUAUGGUUACGUGCGGGGGCGGGGUUUCUGGCUGCGUGGGAUCUGUUGUUAAGAGUCACCGGGUUCGCACUAGAACAUGAAAUUGUGGCUGCAGCAGGAUGGUAUUUAUCAUUACAUCUGCAACGAUGGAGAGAAAGGAAAUACAUAUCCCGGAAAAUGGAACUCAGUAAUGUUUCCUUUUGAAACUUGGGGGCGGGUCACAUCCUAACUUUAAUGGACAACCAGGAAUUUACCAACCUCCAAGUCCCUGAGCCCCACCUCUCCUGGGUUUCAGAAUUCCUAGCAUAGCUACUCUGAGGUGAUCUGCUUUGCUCCACCAUGCUAUUCCACCAUAAUGUUCUGCCUCAGAAAGGCCCCAAAACAAUGGAGUCAGCCAACCAUGAACUGAAGUCUGUGAAAUUAACACCUUCUUGCAAGUAUAUGUUGCCUGACAAAGAAUUCUAAUUGAAUUAUAGAAUAAAAUUAUCAUGAAACUUGUGGAGGCUAUAAGGGCUUU